AUAACAAUACGGGGCAAUUGUCUUGUAAUUGGAAUGAUGGUGACCUAAACCCUCACCAGAGUAACAAUUGGAGGGCAAGUCUGGUGCCAGCAGCCGCGGUAAUUCCAGCUCCAAUAGCGUAUAUUAAACUUGUUGCAGUUAAAAAGCUCGUAGUUGAAUUUCUGCGUUAUCGAGUUAUUGACUCUUGUCUUCAAUCGAUUUCGCUUUUGGGAUUUAUCCCUUUUUACUUUGAGAAAAUUAGAGUGUUUCAAGCAGACUUUUGUCUUGAAUACUUCAGCAUGGAAUAAUAGAGUAGGACUUUGGUUCUAUUUUGUUGGUUUUUGAACCUUAGUAAUGGUUAAUAGGAACGGUUGGGGGCAUUCGUAUUUAACUGUCAGAGGUGAAAUUCU
rnacentral:rRNA from 1 species